rnacentral:rRNA from 1 species
AUCCUGGCUCAGGAUGAACGCUAGCGGCAGGCUUAACACAUGCAAGUCGAGGGGUAUAGUUCUUCGGAAUUAGAGACCGGCGCACGGGUGCGUAACGCGUAUGCAAUCUACCUUUUGCAGAGGGAUAGCCCAGAGAAAUUUGGAUUAAUACCUCAUAGUAUAGUACUUUGGCAUCAAGGAACUAUUAAAGUCACAACGGCAAAAGAUGAGUAUGCGUCCCAUUAGCUAGAUGGUAAGGUAACGGCUUACCAUGGCAAUGAUGGGUAGGGGUCCUGAGAGGGAGAUCCCCCACACUGGUACUGAGACACGGACCAGACUCCUACGGGAGGCAGCAGUGAGGAAUAUUGGACAAUGGGCGCAAGCCUGAUCCAGCCAUGCCGCGUGCAGGAAUAAGGUCCUAUGGAUUGUAAACUGCUUUUAUACAGGAAGAAACACACCCUCGUGAGGGUACUUGACGGUACUGUAUGAAUAAGGACCGGCUAACUCCGUG